AAUUCCUACUCUGAAUACUCGUUGCUUUUGUCAGUUAUCUUUAUGGCCAACCAAACAAUUUAAGAUUGCCAAAUGACUUGAGCUUACGAGCUUCUCCCUUAGUUUAUGCUAAGCUCCAACCAAACAGGCAGGAGAGUUAGGAUCCUUUGAGAGGUGGAAGAGAUGAGCUACUUGAAGACAUAGUUUCUUUCAUCCAUGCGGGCGAUGCUGCUUCUCUAGCCAAAAAUGCUGUUGCACCUCCUGCAAGACGCCUUGUUCCUGAAUUGAUGCUGCAAUUAGCUCGCAAAGUCAGCCCUUUCUAAAUUUUCAACUUAAUUUUGAGAUUUUUCUACAGGACGAUAUGACCUUAUUCUUUAUGGCCUUGGCAUAUUGAAGAUGCUUUUAGGCAGUGAAAUUUCCAAAAAUUGACUCUUUAGUAUUAGUUGAAUGGCUAACUCAAUUCGUUUUGAAGAACUAGUGUGCAUGAAAUUCAAAAGAAGGAAUCAUCAGCGUUCUUCAGAAUUGACAGAGGUACAAGAGGUGAUGAAGCGCUGGAAUCACAACUCUGCUCCCGAGUUGGCCAAUCAUAAACACAUCAGAAACUUUUAUAUCAUAAAGUUAUAUAGGCAUUAUCUUUUGUAACAUCUUAGCUUAUGAAACUAAUGAAUUGUUGGCAUGCUUGCGCUCCAAUUGUAUUCAUCAACCAUUCAAAUUUAAUUUCUUGCACCAACUCCUUGUGCUGAAAAUGUCAACUAUAAUCAUUCUUCCUCUCUUCCCCUAAGCCACCAAAAUGAAGAGCUUUGAUCACUAUUAGUAUCAGAUUGUCACAUAAUUUUAUCAUAUGAGAGAUAUUACAGGUAGUGAACAUCGUUAUAAUAAGGCUGUAUUUUAUUGCUGUAGGCAAACUAGCAUAAACAUUACAUAACAACCUGAUCUGAGGUUUAUGAUAAUUUUAUUAGAGUAACUGGAUGUUGAUAAAGA